rnacentral:pre_miRNA from 1 species
GUUACUUUAUAAGAGUAGACCUAUAUUUGUUUUCUACUCUUAUAAAGUAACAAAUAUAGGUCUACUCUUAUGAUGUAAC